rnacentral:rRNA from 1 species
UACGUAGGGUGCAAGCGUUAAUCGGAAUUACUGGGCGUAAAGCGUGCGCAGGCGGCUUUGCAAGACAGAUGUGAAAUCCCCGGGCUUAACCUGGGAACUGCAUUUGUGACUGCAUGGCUGGAGUGCGGCAGAGGGGGAUGGAAUUCCGCGUGUAGCAGUGAAAUGCGUAGAUAUCGAGAGGAACACCUGCGGCGAAGGCGGGUUGCUGGGCUGACACUGACGCUGAUGCGCGAAAGCCAGGGGAGCGAACGGG